UGCUAUACUGCAGUCGUACGCUUCUUUUUCCACCGGAGCUUGCUCCACCGGAAAAAGAGGAGUGGCGAACGGGUGAGUAACACGUGGGUAACCUGCCCAUCAGAAGGGGAUAACACUUGGAAACAGGUGCUAAUACCGUAUAACAAUCGAAACCGCAUGGUUUUGAUUUGAAAGGCGCUUUCGGGUGUCGCUGAUGGAUGGACCCGCGGUGCAUUAGCUAGUUGGUGAGGUAACGGCUCACCAAGGCCACGAUGCAUAGCCGACCUGAGAGGGUGAUCGGCCACAUUGGGACUGAGACACGGCCCAAACUCCUACGGGAGGCAGCAGUAGGGAAUCUUCGGCAAUGGACGAAAGUCUGACCGAGCAACGCCGCGUGAGUGAAGAAGGUUUUCGGAUCGUAAAACUCUGUUGUUAGAGAAGAACAAGGAUGAGAGUAACUGUUCAUCCCUUGACGGUAUCUAACCAGAAAGCCACGGCUAACUACGUGCCAGCAGCCGCGGUAAUACGUAGGUGGCAAGCGUUGUCCGGAUUUAUUGGGCGUAAAGCGAGCGCAGGCGGUUUCUUAAGUCUGAUGUGAAAGCCCCCGGCUCAACCGGGGAGGGUCAUUGGAAACUGGGAGACUUGAGUGCAGAAGAGGAGAGUGGAAUUCCAUGUGUAGCGGUGAAAUGCGUAGAUAUAUGGAGGAACACCAGUGGCGAAGGCGGCUCUCUGGUCUGUAACUGACGCUGAGGCUCGAAAGCGUGGGGAGCAAACAGGAUUAGAUACCCUGGUAGUCCACGCCGUAAACGAUGAGUGCUAAGUGUUGGAGGGUUUCCGCCCUUCAGUGCUGCAGCUAACGCAUUAAGCACUCCGCCUGGGGAGUACGACCGCAAGGUUGAAACUCAAAGGAAUUGACGGGGGCCCGCA
rnacentral:rRNA from 1 species